UACGAAGGGGGCUAGCGUUGCUCGGAAUUACUGGGCGUAAAGGGCGCGUAGGCGGCUCUGUUAGUCAGGCGUGAAAUUCCUGGGCUCAACCUGGGGACUGCGCUUGAUACGGCGGGGCUUGAGGGCAGGAGAGGCUCGCGGAAUUCCCAGUGUAGAGGUGAAAUUCGUAGAUAUUGGGAAGAACACCGGUGGCGAAGGCGGCGAGCUGGCCUGUGACUGACGCUGAGGCG
rnacentral:rRNA from 1 species